UAGGCCACUGAUGUUUUGGAUCAAACUGAUAUUUGUUUUGUUCCCUUCAUCUAGGUCUUUUUGACCUAAUCAACAGGUUGGAUGUGAAACAAACAUUACAGUGGCCCAAGGAGUUUUUUAAUGGUGGACUUUCAAUCAUUACUAUUUUGUGUGGUGUGGUCCACCUGAGAUUUAGAUAUGCCUCAUUUUUGGAAUCAAGCCCUAAAACAAUCCAAAAUAAUGAAUGGACGGCAUGGAUAAAACAAAUAUAGGAUAGUGGACCCCACAGACCAUCGGACAUUACCCACGCCUCUAGCCAAAUUGCCUUUGAAAACAAAAAAAAAAAAAAAAGGAAAGAAAGAAAGGGGUUUUCUAACCCUGCUGAAGCUGGAUCGGAGAGGGAGAAGGAGACUGGGAGAGGGAGAAUGAGACUGAGAGAGGGAAAUGGAGGCCUUCACUCCGUCUGAGAAGGUAGGUACGCUCCUUCAAUGCAGGUGCGAUUCUUCCCAACGAUUUUCAUUUCAAAAUUUCCAACCGUUACCUGUAUCAAAGAUACAGGUA